rnacentral:rRNA from 1 species
ACGGGGCCCGCACAAGCGGAGGAACAUGUGGUUAAUUCGAUGAUACGCGAGGAACCUUACCUGGGCUUAAAUGGGAGUGACAGCUGUCGAAAGAUGGUUUUCUUCGGACACUCUUCAAGGUGCUGCAUGGUUGUCGUCAGCUCGUGCCGUGAGGUGUCGGGUUAAGUCCCAUAACGAGCGCAACCCUUACCGUUAGUUACCAUCAGGUUAAGCUGGGGACUCUAGCGGGACUGCCACCGUAAGGUGAGAGGAAGUGGGGAUGACGUCAAAUCAGCACGGCCCUUAUGUCCAGGGCUACACACGUGUUACAAUGGCCGGUACAAAGGGCAGCUACUUCGCGAGAAGAUGCUAAUCUCGAAAGCCGGUCUCAGUUCGGAUCGAAGUCUGCAACCCGACUUCGUGAAGCUGGAUUCGCUAGUAAUCGCGCAUCAGCCAUGGCGCGGUGAAUACGUUCCCGGGCCUU